rnacentral:rRNA from 1 species
UACGUAGGCAGCGAGCGUUGUUCGGAAUUACUGGGCGUAAAGAGUGUGUAGGCGGUGCUCCCAGUCUGUUGUGAAAUCUCCCGGCUUAACUGGGAGGGUGCGGCGGAAACUAGAGUGCUAGAGGGUGGGAGAGGUAAGCGGAAUUCCUGGUGUAGCGGUGAAAUGCGUAGAUAUCGGGAGGAACACCAGUGGCGAAGGCGGUUGCCUGGAGCUUUGCUGACGCUGAGGCGCGAAAGCGUGGGGAGCGAUCCGG